rnacentral:rRNA from 1 species
UUAAAGCGGUACGCGAGCUGGGUUCAGACCGUCGUGAGACAGGUCGGUCUCUAUCCGCUGUGGGCGUAAGGAAUUUGAGAGGAGCUGCUCCUAGUACGAGAGGACCGGAGUGGACAGACCUCUGGUGUGUCAGUUGUUCCGCCAGGAGCAUCGCUGAGUAGCUACGUCUGGCAAAGAUAACCGCUGAAAGCAUCUAAGCGGGAAACUUGCCUCAAGAUUAGAUUCCUCAUCCCGUUAAGGGAGUAAGACCGCAAGAAGACUACUUGCUCGAUAGGCGGCGUGUGUAAGCACAGCAAUGUGUUCAGCUAAGCCGUACUAAUGGUCGAGGGCUUAUACAA